rnacentral:rRNA from 1 species
ACAGCAGCCGCCACGGUAAUACGUAGGGUGCGAGCGUUAAUCGGAAUUACUGGGCGUAAAGCGUGCGCAGGCGGUUUUGUAAGACAGGCGUGAAAUCCCCGGGCUCAACCUGGGAAUGGCGCUUGUGACUGCAAAGCUAGAGUGCGGCAGAGGGGGAUGGAAUUCCGCGUGUAGCAGUGAAAUGCGUAGAUAUGCGGAGGAACACCGAUGGCGAAGGCAAUCCCCUGGGCCUGCACUGACGCUCAUGCACGAAAGCGUGGGGAGCAAACAGGAUUAGAUACCCCCGUAGUCCCUGUCUCUUAUAC